AUGGCCUGGCCUCCUAUCCUCCUCCUGUUCCUGCUAGCUCAGUACCCAGGCUCCUGGGCGCAGACUGGACUGACUCAGGAAGUAUCAGUGUCAGGGUCUGUGGGACAGACAGUCACCCUCACCUGUACUGGAACCAGCACCAAUGUUGGUACCAAUGGUGCAGGCUGGUACCAGCAGAUUCCUGGUGCUGCCCCCAAAACUGUGAUGAAAGGAAAUUCUCGACCUUCUGGGAUCCCAGAUCGGUUCACUGGUUCUCAAUCUGGAACCAAGGCCUCUCUGACCAUCUCAGGUGUGCAGACCGAGGAUGAGGCUGAUUAUUACUGUGCUUCAUAUGACUACAUUAUCGACGGAGCCACAGUGCUUCAGACUCGACGGGAAAUGAGACAAAAGCCCAGCCCUGUUUUAGGUGCCCCUCCCCCCCAUGAUAAACUGUCAAAACCGGAAACAGAGCUGUGGAGACUGCACUGUCUCAGAGUGAUCCCUAGCCUAGACCCGCUGAACAGGGCCAAUGAUGACUCCUCCUUUUCAGACUGGGUGUGUUUAAGAGCUAUGCCAUGA